AUGGCCACAGGAAUGGCUGGAGGGAUAGGCGCGUGGCCCACCCAGGUGGUGAAGAUUCUGACUCGCCUCCCCCAAACCUCUUGGGGUGGCAGUGCCAUUUCCACGGAAGGUUUGCUGCCUCUUCUUUCCUUCUAUGGAAAACUGACCCAGGCCCAGAGAGACCCAGAGCUCCGUGUGCAGCUCCGAGGACCCCAGCCCCUCCCCCACAGAGGCGCAGGCCCAGGGCGAGUCAGGGUCCCACCCCCAUCCCUACACUUUGACACCCCCCCUGGCACGUUCUCUCUGACUUCCUUCACGGCCUCUUCUAUACGAUGACUACAGCUUCUAACUUAAAAGUGAAAAUUAAAAAUUUGAAAAAGUGGAAAAUUUGAAAUUGUGGGGCUUUCUAGAUACACUGCCAGCCCCUCAAGAUCCAAGCUCUGCAGGGCCUUCUCCAGUCCCUACCAGCCCAUCCAGACCCACACAUGCUGCCUCAAAGCACCUCCACCGGCCCGCACCUGCAGUCGGAGUCGGCUUCCCUUGCCACCUGCUUCGCUCCCUCUGGGAUCUUCACGCCUCCCUGGUGGCAUCUCCUGCUGGCCCCGCCAUGACCCGGUGAUAACCCCGGUCCAAGUCCACAUUUAUCACCGUCGUGUCUGCGCCCCACCUUGACCCGGUGGGGCUUGGCUCUGCAGGCACUGCCCUCCCAAGGCCUCGCCAUGGGCCUGCUCUGUGGGACAACAUCCAGCACUCGCCGCACUGUGAACCCUUCUCCCACUCACCAAGGGGACCCUGCCCUUCCUGUGGACAGACCACCCCCACCGGGUGCCACAGCAGGCUGGCCAUCUCCUUGGCUGCUCGCGUGACUGGGAGCUCAGAGCACGAGGCGAAGUCUGACCAAGGGCUGCAGCCACGGGGGCAGGACAGCUGGGGCAGACGGGAGGGGCUCCAGGGGCAGGAGCUACAGAAUUCCGAAACAAAGGGCCUGGGGGAGGGGGGGCAGGCGUCACAACUGGACUUCUAGCUCAGGAGGGCUAUGCAGCCAGCUGAUGAACAGAGAAGCUUGCAGCUCAGGAAGCACAGGUUGAGGUCCAGAGCACUCGGGCAGAGCUGCAAGCCUGGCACGUGGACGUGGAUGUCAAGGAGACGGGUUGAGGGCCAGGGCCCCGAGUCAGCAGGUACUCAUGUCAAGGCUGAGGAGGUCUGUGUCACCCUGUGCAAGGAUCAGCAGUCUGUGUUCCGAGUAUCUCCUCAAACAGGCAACUGAGA
rnacentral:lncRNA from 1 species